rnacentral:rRNA from 1 species
UACAGGGGGUGCAAACGUUGCUCGGAAUUAUUGGGCGUAAAGGGCGCGUAGGCGGCCAUUCAAGUGACGGGUGAAAGCCCUCGGCUUAACCGAGGAACUGCCUGUCAGACUGGAUGGCUUGAGACCGGGAGAGGUGAGUGGAAUUCCCAGUGUAGCGGUGAAAUGCGUAGAUAUUGGGAGGAACACCAGAGGCGAAGGCGGCGACCUGGACAGUCACUGACACUCAACUACGAAAGCGUGGGGAGCAAACAGG